UUGGUGAGGUAAGGGCUCACCAAGGCGACGACGGGUAGCCGGCCUGAGAGGGUGUCCGGCCACACUGGAACUGAGACACGGUCCAGACUCCUACGGGAGGCAGCAGUGGGGAAUUUUGGGCAAUGGGGGGAACCCUGACCCAGCGACGCCGCGUGAGGGAUGACGGCCUUCGGGUUGUAAACCUUUUUUGUAUGGGAAGAAGGAUGUGACGGUACCGUACGAAUAAGUCCCGGCUAACUACGUGCCAGCAGCCGCGGUAACACGUAGGGGACGAGCGUUGUCCGGAAUUACUGGGCGUAAAGGGCGCGUAGGCGGUGCUUCAAGUCAGCUGUGAAAUAUCUGGGCUCAACCCGGGUAUGCGGUUGAAACUGGGGUGCUGGAGUACUGUAGAGGCAAGUGGAAUUCCCAGUGUAGCGGUGAAAUGCGUAGAUAUUGGGAGGAACACCGGUGGCGAAGGCGACUUGCUGGGCAGUAACUGACGCUGAGGCGCGAAGGCCAGGGGAGCAAACGGGAUUAGAUACCCCGGUAGUCCUGGCGGUAAACGAUGAAUGCUAGGUGUGAGUGUAGAGAUACAUUUGUGCCGCAGUUAACGC
rnacentral:rRNA from 1 species